CCAAAGUCACGAAGUUUCCCCCCACGAUGUGGACAUGGAGUUUGAGGACCGGAUAAAGUGCCUUUGUUCUCUUCCCAAGGUUUUGUCAUCAUCAAACACAGGGAAGCCGAUAACUACAUGCCUGGAAUAGAACUACACCUUUACAUAUCGAUAGCCAUGGCUUUCUCUCUUUACCUACUAACUUGCUUGCUAUAUAACUCCUCCACACGUCCACAUGCAUCCACUUACUUUUCUCUCUCUGCAGUCUGCACGCAUCAGCCUUUCA
rnacentral:lncRNA from 1 species